GCAGGGAGCAGUGAUGUGUGCCUGUAGUCCCAGUUACUACGGAGGCUGAGGUGGGAGGAUCGCUUGAGCCCAGGAGUUCUGGGCUGUAGUACGCUAUGCUGAUCGGGUGUCCUCACUAAGUUCGGCAUCAGUAUGGUGACCUCUGGAAGCCAGGGAACACCAGGUUGCCUAAAAAAAGGUGAACCCACCCAGUUCGGAAAUGGAGUAGGUCAAAACUCCCCUGCUGAUCAGUAGUGGUAUCACGCCCGUGAAUAGCCACUGCACUCCAGCCUGGGCAACAUAGCAAGACCCUGUGUCUU
ensembl:misc_RNA Metazoa_SRP Metazoan signal recognition particle RNA